rnacentral:rRNA from 1 species
AUUGAACGCUGGCGGCAGGCCUAACACAUGCAAGUCGAACGGUAACAGGAAGCAGCUUGCUGCUUUGCUGACGAGUGGCGGACGGGUGAGUAAUGUCUGGGAAACUGCCCGAUGGAGGGGGAUAACUACUGGAAACGGUAGCUAAUACCGCAUAACGUCGCAAGACCAAAGAGGGGGACCUUAGGGCCUCUUGCCAUCGGAUGUGCCCAGAUGGGAUUAGCUAGUAGGUGGGGGAACGGCUCACCUAGGCGACGAUCCCUAGCUGGUCUGAGAGGAGGACCAGCCACACUGGAACUGAGACACGGUCCAGACUCCUACGGGAGGCAGCAGUGGGGAAUAUUGCACAAUGGGCGCAAGCCUGAUGCAGCCAUGCCGCGUGUAUGAAGAAGGCCUUCGGGUUGUAAAGUACUUUCAGCGGGGAGGAAGGGAGUAAAGUUAAUACCUUUACUCAUUGACGUUACCCGAAGAAGAAGCACCGGCUAACUCCGUG